AUUGAACGCUGGCGGCAUGCCUUACACAUGCAAGUCGAACGGCAGCACGGGAGCAAUCCUGGUGGCGAGUGGCGAACGGGUGAGUAAUAUAUCGGAACGUGCCCAGUCGUGGGGAUAACGUAGCGAAAGCUACGCUAAUACCGCAUACGAUCUAUGGAUGAAAGCGGGGGAUCGCAAGACCUCGCGCGAUUGGAGCGGCCGAUAUCAGAUUAGGUAGUUGGUGAGGUAAAGGCUCACCAAGCCGACGAUCUGUAGCUGGUCUGAGAGGACGACCAGCCACACUGGAACUGAGACACGGUCCAGACUCCUACGGGAGGCAGCAGUGGGGAAUUUUGGACAAUGGACGCAAGUCUGAUCCAGCCAUUCCGCGUGCAGGAUGAAGGCCCUCGGGUUGUAAACUAGCUUUGUUACGGAACGAAAGGUUUGUCUUAAUACGAUGAGACUCAUGACGGUACCGUAAGAAUAAGCA
rnacentral:rRNA from 1 species